CCUACGUGUGGCAGCAGUGAGGAAUAUUGGUCAAUGGGCGCGAGCCUGAACCAGCCAAGUAGCGUGAAGGAUUACUGCCCUACGGGUUGUAAACUUCUUUUAUAAAGGAAUAAAGUGAGGCACGUUUGCCUUUUUGUAUGUACUUUAUGAAUAACGAUCGGCUAACUCCGUGCCAGGAGGCGCGGUAAUCCGGAGGAUCCGAGCGUUAUCCGGAUUUAUUGGGUUUAAAGGGAGCGUAGAUGGGUUGUUAAAUCAGUUGUGAAAGUUUGCGGCUCAACCGUAAAAUUGCAAUUGAUACUGGCAGUCUUGAGUACAGUUGAGGUAGGCGGAAUUCGUGGUGUAGCGGUGAAAUGCUUAGAUAUCACGAAGAACUCCGAUUGCGAAGGCAGCUUACUAAACUGCCACUGACAUUGAUGCUCGAAAGUGUGGGUAUCAAACAGGAUUAGAUACCCUUGUAGUC
rnacentral:rRNA from 1 species